rnacentral:rRNA from 1 species
AUUGAACGCUGGCGGCAUGCCUUACACAUGCAAGUCGAACGGUAACAGGUCUUCGGAUGCUGACGAGUGGCGAACGGGUGCGUAAUACAUCGGAACGUGCCCAGACGUGGGGGAUAACGAGGCGAAAGCUUUGCUAAUACCGCAUACGAUCUAAGGAUGAAAGCAGGGGACCGCAAGGCCUUGUGCGUUUGGAGCGGCCGAUGGCAGAUUAGGUAGUUGGUGGGAUAAAAGCUUACCAAGCCGACGAUCUGUAGCUGGUCUGAGAGGACGACCAGCCGCACUGGGACUGAGACACGGCCCAGACUCCUACGGGAGGCAGCAGUGGGGAAUUUUGGACAAUGGGCGAAAGCCUGAUCCAGCAAUGCCGCGUGCAGGAUGAAGGCCUUCGGGUUGUAAACUGCUUUUGUACGGAACGAAAAGGCUCUGGCUAAUACCUGGGGCACAUGACGGUACCGUAAGAAUAAGCACCGGCUAACUACGUG